GCCGUGUGCUAGAUCGUGUUCAAUUCGAAGUUGAGUCACACAACCAUGUCGCAGGUCGUGUAACUCACUGACUUGAAACACACGGACGUGCAAAGAGACCGUGUGCAACACACAGCUGUAUGACAACCCGUGUGCCCUUAAUUUUUCCUUCAAAUGCAAGUUUACCAAAACGUACUUACUUGAACAUCAAGUAACUCAUUUAACAAUUAAACCUAUUCAAAACACACUUAAACAAGCCCGAAACACGCCAAAAUCAUCCAGCCUAAGUGUCUAACCAACGUGUCUUCAUUGACACCACAAUUCAAUUAACAAGCUUGUAGAGGCCCAAAUUUGACCGGGCCCAUUUUACAACUUUUAACCCAAACAAAACAGACCCAAACCCAUACAUGGCCCAAAUCAAAACCCCAGCCCAAAAACUUAACAUUUCGGGAACCCUAGGGUUCCCCUCCCUUACGUGCGCCGCUCCUCACAUGGUGUCAGCGAGUUUUGCGCCCGAACAAACUCCCCGUCCGGUCGCCUCUGCCCACCUACUCCGACAUUAGCUGCAAAAUGAAAGAGAAGCACGCAAAGCAGAAGGAAAACAGAGCAGAAACAACAAACAAUAACAGAGACCACGAAAUAUUUUCUAUGGGAAUUGGCUAUAAAGCCGAAAAGAAACCGAAUGUAGAAAGGGGGGAAAACCGAUUGUAUUUUGAGGGGGGUUUUUCUUUUCUUUUUUCUUCAGAUUUUUUAAUAGAAAGAAAUCAAAGAAGAUCGAAUAUUUUAAGGUGAUUUACAUUUGAUAUAUUCUAUUUUUAUUUAUUUUUACUCUUAAGUUCUUCUUUGUUUCUCUUUAUUUUUUAUUUUAUAUAUGAAAAUAAUAAAAAAAAGGGAAGAAAGGGCUCACCUCAUGCCCACGAUCGGAGUUUGGGCAGCCAAACCUUCGGGUUCGCCGAAAAUAUCACCGUCGCGGAUAGGGAGGUGAAGGGCCGUCGUUUUUGUUCUUUUCUCUUCCAUUUCUUUUGAUUUUUGGAAGGAUUCGGACACUUUUCCUUCGAAUCGGGUUUAGCGGGGCUAAAACCGCCGAAAAAGGGACUUUAUGAACGCCGACCACCGUAUGCGGUGACGGACAGGUGGCGGCGCUAAGAGGGUUUUUGAAACCCUAGCAGAGGAAGAAGAAGAGAAGAAGGGGAAGGAUUUUUUUUGUUUGUUUUUUUUUUAUU
rnacentral:lncRNA from 1 species